rnacentral:rRNA from 1 species
UGAGCAACCUGCCCCUGGCUUCGGGAUAACUCCGGGAAACCGGGGCUAAUACCGGAUGUGACGUGUCCCUGCAUGGGGGUGUCGUGGAAAGUUCCUCGGCCGGGGAUGGGCUCGCGGCCUAUCAGCUUGUUGGUGGGGUGAUGGCCUACCAAGGCGACGACGGGUAGCCGGCCUGAGAGGGCGACCGGCCACACUGGGACUGAGACACGGCCCAGACUCCUACGGGAGGCA